rnacentral:rRNA from 2 species
UAGGGAAUCUUCGGCAAUGGACGAAAGUCUGACCGAGCAACGCCGCGUGAGUGAAGAAGGUUUUCGGAUCGUAAAACUCUGUUGUUAGAGAAGAACAAGGACGUUAGUAACUGAACGUCCCCUGACGGUAUCUAACCAGAAAGCCACGGCUAACUACGUGCCAGCAGCCGCGGUAAUACGUAGGUGGCAAGCGUUGUCCGGAUUUAUUGGGCGUAAAGCGAGCGCAGGCGGUUUCUUAAGUCUGAUGUGAAAGCCCCCGGCUCAACCGGGGAGGGUCAUUGGAAACUGGGGGGCUUGAGUGCAGAAGAGGAGAGUGGAAUUCCAUGUGUAGCGGUGAAAUGCGUAGAUAUAUGGAGGAACACCAGUGGCGAAGGCGGCUCUCUGGUCUGUAACUGACGCUGAGGCUCGAAAGCGUGGGGAGCAAACAGG